UCCGGGGUAGCUCAGUGGCCAGAGCGGGUGGCUGUUAACCACUAGGUCGAGGGUUCGAAUCCCUCCCCCGGAG
rnacentral:tRNA from 1 species